GGCGGGGCGGAAUGGAAACACGGAAAGAUCUGGUUCUGCACGAGGUUUUUCAGGCUGAGCAGUUUAACCAAGGUCAAGAAAACUCUUUCAUAUGUUGUUGAAUCGGCCAGGAUUCUAGAAGAAAACACCAAACUCAAAUUAAGUAAUUUGAGGAUAGUGUCAUCAAAGAACUAUUUUGUAAAGCAUGCACAAGAUGGUGAGAAGCCACAAGGAAUGGAAUUACCAAGGCAAGCAGCAGGAAGGUGUCACUACAAAGGGAAUUUCCUUGAGAUGGAAUUCUAAAACCUGGAUUAUGUGAGUUAGACAGAGAGAGAGAGAGAGAGAGAAAGGUCUUCCUUCCAUUGGUUCACCCCCAAAUGGCCGCUACGGCUGGAGCUACACCGAUCUGAAGUCAGGAGCCAGGUGCCUCCUCCUGGUCUCUCAUGCGGGUGCAGGGCCCAAGCACUUGGGACAUCCUCCACUGCCUUCCCGGGCCACAGCAGAGAGCUGGACUGGAAGAGGAGCAACCGGGACUAGAACCUGGCGCCCAUAUGGGAUGCCGGUGCCGCAAGGCGGAGGAUUAACCAAGUGAGCCACGGCGCCGGCCCCUAAACUGUUUCUCAAUAUCUUUCAAAGUUUUUGAUGUCUCCUGAGAUCCUUGCUUGAAUCAGUUAUUUGUAAGACUUCAGAGUGGUGGAUUUUUCUAAUUCUUUGUAUGUUUACUACUUGAUUUCUGUAAAGAAAAUCUUUCCUUUUUUAAACCCAUUUCUCCUUAUGUCUAAUUAACUUAUUUAUUUUGGCACUACACUGGGGCUGAUGGAUUUUUAAAUUAAUGUUUCAUUUAUUAUCAUAAUUAUUUUUGAUGCUCUAGUUGUCUUAACUUUAUUGGCAAUUUAGUUUUGUCAAAAAAAGUACCUUGUGAUUGGUAUAUAGCUUCUGGACUGGUAGACAUUGUAAAUGAGUAAGUGGUUGAUGCAAGUGCCAUAAUUUUGAGUUGCCUUUAGUGUGGUGACUGUUAGCAUGUUACAAAAUGAGGAACCCUGAAAACUAUGCCUGUCGAUUAUUACAGAAGUAUUUGGCUCCUAUAAGCAUAAGAUUGUUAACUCAGGCUAGGUUACACACUUGUCUGAUGUGAAAUUUGAUCCGUUGAGCCUGAACUAGCACUUAGGAGACUAAACAGAAUAGCUGCAGUACAAUUAUUUGGACUGCUGUCUGAUCUGCUCCUAAGACUCCAUGGAGGGGCUGGCGCUGUGGCGGAUUAAAGCCCUGGCCUGAAGCACCGGCAUCCCAUAUGGGCACCCGUUCUAGUCCUGGCUGCUCCACUUCCGAUCCAGCUCUCUGCUAUAGCCUGGGAUAGCGGUAGAAGAUGGCCCAAGUCCUCAGACCCCUGCACCCACGUGGGAGACCUGAAAGAAGCUCCUGGCUCCUGGCUUCGGAUCGGCGCAGCUCUGGCUGUUGCAGUCAUCUGGGGAGUGAACCAGCAGAUAGAAGACCUCUCUCUCUGUCUCUACCUCUUUGUAACUCUUUCAAAUAAAUAAAAUAAAUCCUUAAAAAUGAAAGACUCCAUGGAAAAUAAACAUUGGAUGCUGCCCUGCUGGUGGAUUGUGGUUUCUAUCCUAUAUACCUUUCAGUGAAUGGAUGGAUAAUAGAGUUUGUAGGUUUUGAGAGUAUGAAGGCUUAGUUAAUUGAAUAUUCUAUAAUGGGAGCUGAAUUAUUUUUAAAAGAAUACUCAGAGAAAUCUCAUUUUUCAUUUUUUAAAAUAUUUUUAUUUACUUGAGAGAGAGAGAGAAAGAGAGAGAAAUAUCGAUCUUCUAUCUGCUGGUUCACUCCCCAAAUGGCUGCAACAGCUGGGGCAGGGUUAGGCUGAAGCCAGGAGCCAAGAGCUUUUUCCAGGUCUCCCAUGUGGGUGCAGGGGCCCAAGCACUUGGGCCAUCCUCUACUGCUUUCCUAGGCACACUAGCAGGGAGCUGGAUUGGAACUAGAGCAGCCAGGACUUGAAAUGGUGCCCAAAUGGGAUGCUGGUGCUGUGGGCCAUGGCUUUAACCUGAUAUGAUACAAUAAAGGCCAGGAGAAAUCUCAUUUUUAUCUAUUACUGGAUACAGUAGAGUUUGGUGGAAGUGAUACUAUGUGACUUCUGAGGCUAGGCCAUUGCUAGGGUCUGAAUGCCUGUGUCCCCAACUCCCACCCCCUUAAAUUCAUAUGUUGCAGGGCCAACAUUGUGGUAUAGCAGGUUAAGCCACCUCCUGUGAUACCAGCUUCCCAUAUGGGCACCAGUUCGAAACCUGGCUGCUCUACUUCUUAUCCAGCUCUCUGCUAGUGUGCCUGGGAAAGCAGCAGAGGAUGACCUAAGGACUUGGGACCCUUUACCCACAUGGGAGACCUGCAAGAAGCUCUGGGCUCCUGGGUUUAUCCUGGUCCACUCACAUCCAUUGCAGCUAUUUGGGGAGUGAACUAGAGGAUGGAGGAUCUUUCUCUCUCUGCCUUUCAAAUAAACAAAUAAAAUAUUUUUUAAAAAUGCCAAAAGCCAUGAUAAGCAAGCUACCAUAUUUUGAAGUUUUUAAUUAUUAUUUGUUGGCGAUGCAGAGAGACAGGGAGAGCUGCUUUCUGCUAGUUUAUUCUGAAUAUCCAAAAUGGUCAGGGUGGAGCCAGGAGCUGAGAACAUGACCCAGGUCUCCCACAUGGGUUACAGUAACCCAAUAACUUGGGUCAUCAUCUGCUGUCUUCCAGGGUCUGCAUUAGUGGAAGCUAGAGUCAGUAGAUCUUGGUAUUGAACCCAGACAUUCCAGUGUGGUACUCAACUCAGGAAUCUUAUCCAGACUUUUAACCACUAGACCAAACACCUGCCCCAUCAUAAUUUUAAAUAAGGACAGGAUAUUAAUUUUGAUAUAUCCUUUGGCUUUAAAGCUUCAGUAUGGACAGACACAGCACUGCUCUUGUGUCCUCCCAAUAUGCCCAUCCAGUGGGUAAGUUUUCCUUAUCUCAGAAUUUAGAAGAUACAUGUGGGCCACUCUGUUCAGUUUGUGUGCCUUUGUUAUUUAAGAGUUGUCCUGAGCUCAGGUUCACAUUCUUUUUAGACUUUCCCAUUGACUCUUCUCCCUCUGUUAUCUGUAGAAGUUGAGUAUAAGCCAUUGAAGCCACGUGAGAGCUGAGUGCCUACAAACUCCAAGUGCCCUUGUGCCAUGUCUAAAGAGCAGUUACCUGCCAAAAAUAUUUCAUACAGGCUUAAAGAUGCCAAAGCAACCUCAUAACUUUCACUUCCCCUACUCUCCUCCAGGCAGUAUCCAUCAAACAGUACUUUUCAACAAAAACACAGGGUCCAUGACUUCUCUGGAAGUAACAGGGUGCCCCUGCUUCCCUCAGAGCUACCACAUUUGAUCACUAUUUGAAGAAAUGUCCUACCAGGAAUUUAAAGGCAAACACAAAGUUUCUUGUGUUUGCAAAAACAAAGGAUAAUUUGAGGAAGGUUUACCAAAGGAAAUAUUUAUCAAGGUAUGGGCAGGGUGCAGGAAGAUCACAAAGGAAAUAAUAGCAGAGCUGUUUCCUGACCUAGGCAAGGUCAGAAGAAAUGGAAGGAGGGAGUGGUUACUGAAACCUGGAAGGAUAAAAUAUGGAGAGGACCACUUAGAAAGGAGCUGUGAGCACUGGUUUAAGGAUACAGGUGGCUCCCUGGAGACCUCACAGGAGAGAAUUCUGGAAUAAGGAUACAAAACUUACUAUGUUUUCUCUGUUAUCUUCCCAUUGGAUAAGCUGAAUCAGGAUUCAGUCUCAAUUGAACAAAGUCAAUUAGAAGCCAGAGCAUAUUAGAACCUGUUAAGACUGUACUAGGCAGCCUCCGAGGACAUUAAGCAAUGUGGAAAAGAGUGGAGAGUAGAUCUGAAAUGGUAACUGAGAGACAUCUAACAGAUAACCUUCAGUUAAAGAUACACUAUGAAUCACAUACCUUGCUUUUCACAGUAAAGUAUCAUGUUUGCCAAUUUUUUUCCCAGAAUCCAGAAUAUAAGCAUUUUUUAACUUGCAAGUGAGCUCAGUCUCUGUCAUUCUUUUUUUUUUUUUUGACAGGCAGAGUGGACAGUGAGAGAGACAGAGAGAAAGGUCUUCCUUUGCCUUUGGUUCACCUUCCAAUGGCCGCCGCGGCUGGCGCGCUGUGGCUGGCACACCGCGCUGAUCCGAUGGCAGGAGCCAGGUGCUUCUCCUGGUCUCCCAUGGGGUGCAGGGCCCAAGCACUUGGGCCAUCCUCCACUGCACUCCCGGGCCACAGCAGAGAGCUGGCCUGGAAGAGGGGCAACCGGGACAGAAUCCGGCUCCCCGACCGGGACUAGAACCCGGUGUGCCGGUGCCGCAAGGUGGAGGAUUAGCCUAGUGAGCCGCGGUGCCGGCCAAGUCUCUGUCAUUCUUUAGCUGUAACGAUGUUAUCUGGCAAAAAUAAAAUCUCUAGGAGUGACCAAGUGGUGUCUGCUGGUACUGAAGGAGCCAAUGAAAUCUAUAAUAGCCUUCAUUUUCCAAAUUCUCCAGUGACUUUUUCUUUGAAGUGACUCUUGAUGUGUUCUUUCAGAAAUGACAAAAGUACAGUGAAAGGCUCUCACUAACUCUUUGGAGGGUGGAUUGGUAUAAACUUAUUAGAAAAAUGAUUUGGCAAUGCAUAUCAAAAGCCUUACUGAUGUUCCCUCUUACUAACUACCACUUCCAUUUCAUGGAAUCCUUCAUAGAAUAUACAAACCCAGGCAAAACAUUUAUGUAGAAAGACUUUAUUGCAGUCAUUUCUAUGAUUAACUCCUUCCAAAAAGAACCCCUAAAAUUUAGAACAAUGAAACAUGAAACAAUGAUAGGAAAAUACAUGACAAGUAUGCAGUUGGAGAGCUUGCAGCCUUCAAAAAUUAGGUUGUGAGGUGAGCAUUUGGCAUAGGAGUUACGGAAAUCUACAUCCUAUAUUAGAGUGCUUGGAUUUGAGUCCUAGCUUCUCAUCUGAUCCAUCUUCCUGCUAAUGUGCACCCUGGAAGGCAUGGAGUGAUGGCUCAAGUAAAUAGGUCCCUGCAGACUUGGACUGAUGGCCUAGCUCCUGGUUUCAGCCUGGCCCAGUUCUGGCUGUAGCAGACAUUUGGGGAAUGAACCAGUGGAUGUAAGGUCAAUUUCUCUCUCUUCCCCCAUUUCAAAUAUAAAUUAAUUACUAUAUAAAAAUAUGUUGACAAAGGAUAUUUUCAUGGCAUGAGAAAACAAUUAUCUAAGAUGCAGUGAAUAAAACAAGCACAAUAAAAAAUUUAAAUGAGGUAGGGUCUCAAUUACAUAAAACAAAAUGUAUAGGAUGAGGGAGAAUCUUCAAAAUACUAAGGAAAAUUUAUUUGUCCAAAGGGACAAAUAUCAUAUGUUCUCCCUGAUUGGUGACAACUAACUGAGCACCAAAAAGGAAACCUGUUGGAAUGAAAUGGACACUAUGAGCAACAAUGACUUGAUCAGCCUUGUCCUGACUGUCGAUGAACAACUUAAAACUUUAUCCCUUUUAGUAUUUUUUUUGUUCUAGUUAAUACUAUUGGUUGAACUCUGUAAUUAACAUGCAGUUAUUCUUAGGUCUUGAAAUUUAACUAAAAAGUGAUCUCUGUUAAAUAUAAGAGCGGGAAUAAAAGAGGGAGGAGAUGUACAAUUUGGAACAUGCUCAAGCUGACUUGCCCCAAAUGGUAGAGUUAGAAAUGUGCCAGGGGAUUCCAAUACAAUCCCAUCAAGGUGGCAUGUACCAAUGCCAUCUCACUAGUCAAAGUGAUCAAUUUCAGUCCACAAUUGAUCAUAAUGAUAGGUCUAAGAGUCAAAGGGAUCACACAAACAAGACUAGUGUCUGCAAAUACUAACUGAUAGAAUCAAAAAGGGAGAGAAUGAUCCAACAUGGGAAGCAAGAUACACAGACUCAUAGCAUGGCAGAUGUCCUAAACAGCACUCUGGCCUCAGAAUCAGCCCUUAAGGCGUUUGGAUCUGGCUGAAGAGCCCAUGAGAGUAUUUCAGGCAUGGAAAGCCAAGACACUCUGGCAAAACAAAAGCAAAACAACAACAACAAAAAAACUAAAUGAAAGAUCUCUGUGAGUGAGAUCCCAGUGGAAAGAACAGGCCAUCAAAGAAGGAGGUACCUUUCUCUGAAGGGAGGAGUGAACCUCCACUUUGACUAUUACCUUGUUUAAAUAAGAUCGGAGUUGGCGAACUCAAAAGGCUUCCAUAGCCUUGGCAACUCAUGACAAGAGCCUAGGGAGAUUACUGACGCCAUAAACUAGAGUGUCAAUUUGUUAAGCCAACAACAGGAGUCACUGUGCACUUACUCCUCAUGUAGGAUCUCUGUCCUUAAUGUGUUAUCCAAUGUGAAUUAAUGCUAUAACUAGUAUUCAAACAGUAUUUUACACUUUGUGUUUCUGUGUGGGUGCAAGCUGUUGAAAUCUUUACUUAAUAUAUACAAAAUUGAUCUUCUGUAUAUAAAGAGAAUUGAAAAUGAAUCUUGAUGUGAAUGGAAUGGGAGAGGGAG